UUAUAAAUCUUGUUAAUUUAUAUAAUGGUUUAAGGUUUAUAUUUGAAAAAUAAUUUAUAAAAUAAAUUAAUAGUAAUUAUUAUUGAAUAAAAGUUUAUAUAACUAUAGUGAAAAGUACUGUGAAGGAAGGAUUUAAUAAUAAAAAAUAAAGUAGAAAUUAGUAUUUGUACCUUGGGUAUCAGGGAUAAUUAAUAUAUUAUUAAAUAUCGUUUUAAAUAUCUCGAAAUAAGAAUAGCUAAUUUUAUAAAAAAUUUUUUGUAAUAUAAAAAUUUUUAAUAUGAAAUUAGAAAUGAAAUGUUAAUCGAGUUUUAUUAUAUCUGGUUCUUUAAGAAAUAAAUUUAAUUUAAACUUUAUGUGUAUAAAAUAUAAAGGAUAAGAGUAGAAGGGAAAAGCUUUUUAUUAUAAAAAUAGUUUAAAAGUAAAUAAUAAAUUAUCUAAGCUUAGAAGUAGCUAUGUUAAUAAAGUGUUUUAACUAAAAUCAUAAUAAUGUUAUUUUUAUAUAUCUUUUGUAUUUAUUAGGGAUUUAUUUAUAAUUUUGUUGAAUAAAAUAUAAUGAUUUUAUUAGUAGAAGUUUAUAUUUAAAUAAUAAUUUAAAUAUUUAAAAAAGUAAAUAUAUGUAUUAAAGAUAAUAUAGAGGAAUUCGGCAAAAUAUUUCUUUGCCUGUUUAUCAAAAACAUGUUUAUUUGGAGCUAUAAAUAAUUUGGCCUGCCCCCUGAUUUAAAAAUUAAAGGGCCGCAGUAUUAUAACUGUGCAAAGGUAGCAUAAUCAUUAGGUUUUUAAUUAGAAUCUUGUAUGAAUGGUCGGACAAAAGAGAAGCUCUCUUUAUAUUAAAUUUUGAAUUUAACUUUUAAGUGAAAAGGCUUAAAUUAACUAAAGGGACGAUAAGACCCUAUAAAACUUUACAUUAUAAUUAUAUUUUAGUAAAUUUUAAAAUAAAAAUUUAAUUUAAUUAUUUGUUAAGCUGGGGAGGCACAAAUAAAUAUUAUUUAAACUGUUUGAUAUUUAUACAAUUAUUAGUGGAUAAAUAGAAGAUCCUUUAUAAAGAUUAAUAGAUUAAGUUACUUUAGGGAUAACAGCGUAAUUUCUUUUGAGAGUUCUUAUCGAAAAGGAAGAUUGCGACCUCGAUGUUGAAUUAAAAUAUUCUAUAUAAUGAAGAAGUUAUAUAAGAAGGUCUGUUCGACCUUUAAAAUUUUACAUGAUUUGAGUUCAAACCGGUGUGAGCCAGGUUGGUUUCUAUCUUUUAGUAAAAAUAUAAUUAUUUUAGUACGAAAGGAGUAAAUAAUUGAAAUAAUUUUAAUUU
rnacentral:rRNA from 1 species